CGAACGAGGAAGAGGGGAGGGGGAGGGGGAGGGGGAGAGGGAGAAUGUGAAUGAAUGAAGGAUUGUGACGUACACGAAGCAUACCAGGCUGAAGAUGAAGGUCUAUCACGAUGGUUUUCUGGAUUUUCAGCUCUCGACUAGAAAACAGUCUCAUGAAGACCAGCUUUGAAGCUCUUUACUAGGAUGUUUCUCUGUGAUCUUCAUCUGCUUGAUAGCUGGCUUCUGCUUUUACCAAGUAAAGUAGAAACCAGGUGAGCCUCUAUGAUGAAAGAUGUAACUGCAAAUCAUUUGCAGUGUUCAGACUCAAUCUCAGCAUAGAAGUCUCUUCAUUCCGCAGACGAGAGAAAGCCUAACUUGGUGAAUAAAGUUUCAACAAUGACUCAGUCCAACUGACAAAAUGAUUAGAGAAUUUCAGUGUUCAAAAAGAGAGCAAUGCAGAAAUAUGGGGGCACUAACUCCAGAUGGAAUAAAGCCAAGAUCAAAAGGUUUGGUACGCUCAUGUUGCAGAAACGCUUUCUUACUCCUUUGAUAUGUUUGCAUGGUUGUCUGUUGGAGCUUACAGUAACAAAUGUCUCUUCACGUCCAUGCACGAGUCUAGCCUUUACAGGUUUAGAAUAUGUCGUCUCAUGCAUGCAUAAUAGAAUUGUAUCUAUUUCAUCUGGUAUGCCUUGGGAUGUAAACAUAUAAAUUGAGAACAUGAGAGUUAACAUGCAUAUGUAGAUGCUAUCGUAAAGAUGGAUAAAUGCAUUGAAAAAAGGUUAAUGAUAGUAUCUUGAAACGCGAUGAUUAAUACCUGUCAAUAGAAUUAGAUUUGAUGCUUUUUCUAGGAUCUGGAGCUGGUGAAACAUCACACUUGGCAAUUCCAGCUUCUGAAUGUUUGAUAUUUAAAAAAACUUACUUUUAGUUGUGUAUAUUGAAAAAUAUAAGUCUGUUAAAUAACCAAUGUAAGACACUGUUUCUUACAUUUACAUAGAAGUAUGUUAACCAUAAUUUUGUUUGAUCAAUCCAAUUGGUCAAAUAGACGUGAUUUACUGCACAAUUUUUUUUUUGGGCCACGUACAUGGUUAAGUCUUCAUUACAAUCAUGUCCAAAGACAUCUAUUUCACCGUCAAAAUCUGCUGGAUCAUCUUCUACAAUGGGUUCUGGUGAUCAGAAAACCGCCCAUGACACGGGCGUUGCUGAUUAUUCCCAGUUCAUGGUGUCUAAAAGCUCAUCUGGUGAUCCAUAUGAAUGUUCAAAGACACAUCUGAACGACCAUCCAAGUCUUGAUCACGGAAUUUAAUGAACAGCUACGUCACAUUUUACCUGAAAUAAGGUUUGUGUGUUGGAUGUCAAAGUAGAGCUCAAAGACAAGCUUCCUGUUGUGUUGUUCAAUGAAGAACUAGGAACAAGAGACACUCUAUGUUGUGUAUGCUUGGGAGAGUUCGAGAUGAAGGAAGAGUUGGUGCAAGUUCCAUCAUGCAAACACAUGUUCCAUUUGGAAUGCAUUUGCCUCUGGCUCCACUCUCACUCCACUUGCCCUCUCUGCCGCUCCUCCAUCACUCCAAAACCCUCAUCACUUCCUCAAUCCACGACCAAUAAUGAUGACUCCCAUAGUCUUGGAACUGAUUCUGAUCCAACUCUUCCGGUAUGAUCCAUCCGAGAGAGAACAAAAAAAAAAGAAGAGAAAACAGUUUUGUGCAUAGAUCAUAUAGGUAAAAAUACCUAUUUUUCUUGAAGAUCUUACAGCUAUGUUAGAUUUUUUUUUUCAAAUCGAUGGGAUCAAUUGUACAUUCGAUGUGAGGUGAAUGAUGGCAUUGUGGGUCUCUCUCUACUAUUACAAUAACACAAUCGCCUUGAUGACA